GAUGAAAACUGAUCUUCAUCUUCAUCCUCCCUCCUUCUCCUUCUCCUUCGACUGAUUCAAGGCACAACAACCAAGAAAAAAAUGCAACACCUUCCUCCAUCUCCUCUCUUCUUCUUCGUCCAAUUCAUACACACAAACCAAGGUUUUGCAACCCAGAAAUCUCACCUUUGUCAGCAAUAAUUGAAUUAGGGGCAAAGUUUUUUUUCAAAAGCAAAACUCACACAUCCACCAUUGAAUUUAUGACCGAAAAUCUCCCCUAUAAAUACUGAGCUUUACUUAUCAAAUUACUCAUGCAAACAAUCUCAAAAGACUCCGAUUUCGUAGACGAGGAAUACCAGGAGUGCUAAUACGUUCGUGAACUUAACUUUUGGGCACGCGUCACGAGGUAAUCUCCGAUGUCCAUCUAAAUAUAGAUCCCGUUAGCGUAAAACGAAUUGAUUACGUUAUUAUGUUCUUAUAAAAUUUAUAAGUAUGGACUAUAAUUGUGGAUUAUCUACUUAAUGCGGAUUAUGAAUACGAAUGACAAAAUGGACAACGAUUAUGGAUUUCGAUUAUGAAUCAUGACCUUAGACGAUAUACAAUACGACGAAGAUGUUUAUUAUAACGUUAUUAAAACCGGUUAAUAUCAUUUAAUAAUGUUAUGAUUAUUAAUAGUAUAUUAAUAUGAUUAUUAUAUUAUGAUCAUCAUUAUUAUAUUAUGAUUAUUAUUGUUAUUAUUAUUACUUUAUAUCAUUAUGAUUAUCAUGAAUAUUAUUAUUGUUAUUAAUAUUGAGACUUUAUGAAAGUUGGAAUUGGUAAGAACUUGUGAUAAUGAAAUGAUUAUGAAUCUGAAGUGAUAAACGAACUCAAGUGAUAGUCGUGAAUAUGAAAUGAGUUAUUGAAAUUGCUAUGAAUGGAUUGAAAUUAUGAUGGAUUGAAUAUGUUAACACUAGAUUGAACAAAAUGAUGUAAAUGUGUACGUGAUUUAUGUGAUGACGUAAAUUAAAAGAUGUUAAUCACGUAAAGUGAAAUAUCGGAGGAAAAUGAUGAACAGGUUGCCCUGUAUGAGUGGUUCAGUGGCCCCUAAAAAAACCCUUCAAACCUUGUUCACACCAAAGUCAUCACAAAAAUUUCAUCACAAAAUUCCAAAGAAAAGUUGCUGCCCAGAACAGAAGCUCUCACCCCUCCUUCCUCGCCAGACUUGAGGUGCAUACUAGGAAGGAAAAAAUUCAAGCUUCAAGUGCCAAAAAGUUCAAGAAGCAAGACCAUUUUCUUCAAUCAAGGAAACAGAGAAUAAAGAAGUAAGAAUCACACCUUGAGAAGAAGGAGAAGUCGAGUUACUGCCUUUGGAAGUGAAGGCUUCCAUUAGAAGAUACUUCAUUGCUUCCACCAGAGUAAACUGACAUUGACGCUGAAGAAGAAGGUGCGGCCAUAAAAACAGUUUUAUGUGCAUAAAAUUAUUUAUUGUAACAAAAUAUAUAUUACAACCUUUUGGGCUUAUGUUACUCUUAAAUGAGAAUGGGAACAUUUCAUUAAAUGUGUACCAACCUUUUACUUUUAUGCCAUAAAUAAAUGAGGCUUUCAAAAAAUUAAAUUAGAAUUUAAUGCAAACUUAAAUUAUAAUCAUUAAAUUAUGAUGCAAAUUCAGGCGAAGUAAUUUAUCGGUUACAGCACAAAUUCAGGCGAAGUACAUUCCAAAAAAGAUGCAAAGCAGACCAACAAUGGCAAACGAUUUCAAUGUUUCUUUAGGCCCAUUCAAAGUGUUCUUACCUCACAAAUCUUCGAUAGAAAUCUUCAGAUCCCGAACCUCCUCCUUGAAACUGUCCCUGUCGGCUUUCAGCUUGGUUAUUUUCUUAGUCAGUUUGCAUUUAUCCUCCUCCAUCUCCAGCAUCACCCUCUCCCACUGGUCGUUCAUCGUGUUCGAAUCGCCGAUAUCGCUUUCCCACCGGAAAAACCCGCAGUCCUUUACUGGCCACAAUGUGGAAACAAUAAUAUAAGAACUUAACUUAAACCCCUUUCCUUGAUCUGCGAAUCCUAAGUGAGCACACCCCCGUGUAAAUUAUGAAAUUCAUGAUUUAUCCAUAUUAAAUUAUAAUUAUUAUUUUAAUAUUUCAUUUAUUACUUAGUAUACUAUAUAUAUAUAUAUAUAUAUAUUAUUUUUGGAAAUCUAAAUUUCAAAAAUAAAAAUAAUAUUAAUAAUAAUAAAAAAUUGUGUUUUGAAGCAAACAUCUUGCGGAGAAAUUCGUCAGUUUUAUGAAGCAAAUCUGUCAAAUUAAUUGCUCAAUCAAUUAUGUUGAACCCUAAUUUUGAUGAUGACAAAGGAACAAAGAUGCAAAUUAAGUACUAGACUAACAAGUUGUUUAAGUGAGUGAAUUUCAAGGUAUCAUUAAAAGGAACAAAAAGAAUACUAAGUCAAGGAAGAAAUCAAGUUUGGAUUUUGAAGACUAAGUGAAGAUGUUUCUCUAUUUGGUACUGAAGCUGCAUUGGAGAAAGAAGACUAACGCGAGGCUUUUUGUUUCUAGUUCCAUUGUAAAGGAACGAGUAAAGAUGGUAAGGAACUAUGGCAGUUUAGAAUGAGAAUGAUCGUUUGUUCCUUUGUAAGGAAGAGACGAAUUGGCGCUAAACUUAUAAGUUAAAGGAACUAACAAUUAAAAGGAACGAGACUUAGGUUGAAGCAUUACAACGGUACAUUUAUGGCAGUUGAGCAAAUUAUGCCUAGAAUCUAGGUAACCGUUUUAUUUAAGGAAAAAUUUGAUUUUAUGGAAAAUCUUUUUAAGGAAAAGAUUUUAUUUUUCCAAAGAUAAUAAAAAUAUUUUUCGAUUUUUACGAAAAUAAUUUAAAGAUAAUAUUUUUAUUAAAAGGAUUUUAUUUCGGGUUUAAUAACUAAUAUGUUUUUAUUUAGACCAGAUUUUCGAGUAAUGCUUAAAAUGGUUGCUAAAAUUAAGGAGCAGGAACUAAAAACACUCCCACGUUUAACAGUGAUCAUGGGGAUCAUGGGAUGUUUAAGGAACGUAUUCCUCAAGUAAGGAACAUCAUGGGAUAAUGGUUUUUCACAAAUACAUGUUUUAGUCCCACGUUCUAAAUUUCUACCACUAUAAAUACUAAUGUCUAAUUAAGUUCCAAAGUGUGUUUGACCUAGUGAUUUAGUGAGUUUAACUAAUUAAAGUGUCGGUGCCUUCAUUCUCUCAUAAAAGCCAUUUGUUCUUUGUCCUCUUACUCUAAUUCCACUAAUCUUAUUCGAUCAAUUGUAUUUUGGUUUUUGGGGUAAGGGGGCUUUGAGUGAAGUUCUGUAAGAGAGAAGCUUUGAGUGAAGCAAGAAAAAGUGAGAAAACUUCGAGUGAAGUUGAGAGGAACAAUUGUUAAGGGAACAGUGGUUCAGGAGCUUAAGUUUAGGAACUCAAGGUGUGACUCGUGAGUGGAAUUAGGUUGUAACAAAGUUGUUUGGCCUAAUUAGUGAAAGAGUUGAGUUUAAAAUCCCUAGUGGUCGAGGUUGUUUCUUCUUGUUGGGCCCAAGAAGUUUUUCCUCGUAAAAAUCCCUUGUGCUCCUUUAGCUUGUUUGUUUGUUUAAGUUUGGAAUUCCGCAAAAAGUUACGUUUAUUUCUACACAUACAAUUCACCCCCCUCUUGUAGUGUUCCUAGUGAAAUAACAAAUUACCACCCCCAAAAUCUUCUCAAUCAAAUUUAAACUUUCCCCCUUUGUUUCAAUCAGAUUCUCCUUCCUUCUUGAAUUGUUCCUCUCUCCCUCUACUAGGACUAUAAAUACCAGACUUCUACACCUCUUUCUAGCACCAUUUUCGUUUCAAAAUUCAGUAGGUAAGAAACCAUCUCACAUCACCAUAUUUUUGAGGAGAAAAUAAAAUAUAAAAGAGAGUUAGUGGCGUCGUACCGCCGCUGCUACCGCUAGUACAUCAGACUGACCUACUGAUCCUGUCCUGUUUCUUCUUCUUUACCUUCUUUCUUUUUUCUCUCUCCUCUGAUCUUUGUUUUUGAUUCUUCAAAAGAAAACUGGUUCUGUAGAACCAUAAAGGUCUUCUUUUUUUUCUUCUUUGCAACUUUAAUUGUUUUACUUGUUUUACUUUUUGAUUUUUAAAGCCCUUCCACGUAUCUCAUGGUUUCAAGACAACAAUGUGUUGUCAUUUUAUUUUUUUUAUUUUUGUUUUUUUUCCCUCUUAAUUUUUUUCGUCACUAGUUUUUUUUUCCCUCUGUUUUUAAGCAAUUAACUUUGUGUAACUUUUGGCACUUCAAAUAUUUUAAUAAAAAUUUUAUAAUAUCUUUUACCUUCAACUUAACAACCUAGUAUCCAUAGGUGACUAAAUUAGUUCAUUUACUUACUAUUGUUGACGGAG